AGUUCUGAAAAGGACUGACCGAAGACAGUUGGGGACAUAAGUCAUAAGCAUCCAACCGAGGACAAACAUUUUAAACAAUGAUUGAACUCUCUAUGUCUUUUGGUCGUGGGGAUUUUUAUUUGUAAAA
rfam:Lactococcus garvieae Lg2 DNA, complete genome.